CCUACGGGUGGCUGCAGUGGGGAAUAUUGGACAAUGGGCGAAAGCCUGAUCCAGCCAUGCCGCGUGUGUGAAGAAGGCCUUCGGGUUGUAAAGCACUUUCAGUGGGGAAGAAAGCCUUGGGGCUAAUACCCUCGAGGAAGGACAUCACCCACAGAAGAAGCACCGGCUAACUCCGUGCCAGCAGCCGCGGUAAUACGGAGGGUGCGAGCGUUAAUCGGAAUUACUGGGCGUAAAGCGCGCGUAGGCGGUCUGAUAAGCCGGUUGUGAAAGCCCCGGGCUCAACCUGGGAACGGCAUCCGGAACUGUCAGGGUAGAGUGCAGGAGAGGAAGGUAGAAUUCCCGGUGUAGCGGUGAAAUGCGUAGAGAUCGGGAGGAAUACCAGUGGCGAAGGCGGCCUUCUGGACUGACACUGACGCUGAGGUGCGAAAGCGUGGGUAGCAAACAGGAUUAGAUACCCUAGAGUC
rnacentral:rRNA from 1 species